CCUCUAGCUGGAUGCAGGGCCCUUCCCCUUGCGCUUUCCCAGGGGCAGGGGACUGGCUCCCUCCAGCCUCUCCUCGGCCCCUCCCCUCAUCUUCCUCGUGGCUCUGCAGGUCCCGUGCUCCCCAGAAAAGCAGACAGGGUGACUUCUGCUAUUGCCACAGGAACCAGACGUCCCACCUUCACAAAAGAGGAGAGGCGGCUGCGAAGGACUAGGCCGUGGCCAUGGUGGGCAGGGCACCCCCGGAACAGUGUGGGACCCCAUCCGGGCUGGACGCUCAAGGAUGGUGGGAAGACAGGGACCCAAAGCACAAGUCCACAGAGACCAUGCGAGAGCCGUCAGGAAGAAGAGACGCUAAGGAGGCCCUGGGGCAGGGGUGGAGGGGAGGCAGGGAGGCCAGAGCACAGAGAGAGCCCCAGAGCCGUACAGAGCCCGGGUUCCAGGGAAGGAGGAGCCGCAAGGGCAGGGGCUUGCCAGAUAAAAUACAGAAGACCCAGCUGAAUCUGAAUUUCAAACAAUGAUAUGUCCCCAGACUGCAUGGGAAGUCCUUGAACUAAAAAGUUAUUCCUUAUGAAUGUGAAAUUUGGUCUGAAGAAGGAUGGGUGUCCCUGGUGGUCAGAUGGUAAGGAAUCCACCUGCAAUGUGGGAGACCUGGGUCUGAUCCCUGGGUCAGGAAGAUCCCCUGGAGGAGGAAAUAGGGACCCACGCCAGUAUUCCUGGAGUGGAGAAUGCCAUGGACAGAGGAGUCUAGUGAGCUACAGUCCAUGGGGUUGCAAAGAGUCAGACACGAGUGACUGACUAUCUUCACUUUCACUGUGUAUCUUCAGUUGAUGAAUCUGGCCGCCUAGCCAGCGGUGACCGCCUGGCUGAGGGCAGGCCCCCAGCCCACAUCCCGCCCCUGAUCGCGGGUCCUGGACCUAACUCUGGGGACAGAGGCCGGGUUCCAGGUGUCUCUCAGCAGACCUGGUGGGCCAGCUGUGACUCCAGCCUCCAGCUUCUGGAGGAUUCCAUGAGAGCCCUCCAAGCCAGCCUGAGGGUGGUACCCAGCCCUCGUUAGCCUCCAGCAAGGGAACUGCGGUCAGCUCCGGAGCAAGGCCAGGGGGACAGGGGUUCAGAAACUGAGGUCCGUGCGAGGCGGGGGUCCCUGGGGGGCUGAUAUGGGAAAGCCCUGCCCCGCUGCCCAGGCACACUCAUGAGCCACCCUCGAAAUCAAGGCGGGGAGAGACUGGAUGAGGAGCUGCUGGACCUCGAUACUCAGAGAAGAACCAAUGGGCCUUCAAUUUCCAUACAAUAACUGUCUUAUUCAAUCUAGAUUUAAUGUGCUUUUGGAAUACUUAAUUUAAAGUGUUACUGCACCACCAUCUGCUCCACUCUGCGGACGAACACAGGGAGCAUAUGACUCAGAGCCUCGUCAGGAACCAACGUGCAGGACUGAUGUACAGCUGUCUCUCCUGGGGCGGCCUCUCCUUCCACCCAGGGCUGGAGGUGGCCCAGGCCCAGAGCCGCAGAGAGGCCUGGUGGGGGGGAGGGACGGAGGGACGGAGGGGUGUCACAGGCUGGGCCCUCGAGGCCUCAGGAGUAUCCGCGCCCCAUUGGGGCUGAGGUUCUGGGCCCAUCUUUGGCUCAGACUCUGCCUCUGCUCUCGCAGCUGCUCUGGGACACCUCAGCAGGAAGCCUUUCCCGACCCCUGACCACUGCCCAAAGUGCCCACUGACCCUGCCUCCCUUCCUUCUUCCCCCUCCCUCCCUCCCAUAUGCCCAGGUGUCCCUGGUCCUCGUCAUGGUGCCUGUAAGCCCUGGACUCAGAGCCCUGGGUUGGGUCUUUGCUUCUCCUUGGUGGCUUAGACCUCUCUGUAAGGGGACAAGACACUCACCUCCCCAGUGGUUGAGGGGCUUGAGAGGAUGGGGGCCCCUUCCUCUCACAAUCUGGGGGGCUAAGCUUCACAGGGACACAUGGGCUGGGGUGAGGCUCUUCCCUCCCCUGCUGCCUUGCCUGCCUCCCAGGUUUCCAGAAGCUUCCCUUGGUCUGGAAGGGAGUCGGGCAGACCCUUCAGGGACCAGAGCACGCCUCGGGCCCGAUCUGGGCUGCAGCACACGCCUCCUUCAGCCCUUUCUUUUGACCUUGAAGCUCUGGCAGGGGCAGACCUCCCAUCAGACAAGAGCUCAAUUAGUUCAGAAGUGCAUCUUGCCCCCACCGGGGUACCCACUUGGGAGGCAAAGUAACCUGCUGCACCCCCUGCUCACAGCACACAGCCUCCGGGGUUGUGGGACCCCUAGCCACACACAGGAGGUGUCCUGCCUGAGAACUGGGCCCCUCUGCGUCAAGCCGCUGUUCUGGGGUGCACUGGGUGGAGGGUGAUGGCCCGGGCCGGCCUGACUCGGCUUCCCACUCAGCUCCAACACUCACUGGACAUGAGGGUUUCGGGUUGUUUUUUUUUCACUGUGGUAAAAUACAUAUAACAUAAAAUGUGCCAUUCUGAUCAUUGUAAAUUGAACAAUUCAGUGGCAUUAAGUACAUUCCUCAUGAUAUUGUGCAAUUAACACCACUGUCUAGUUUCAAAACUAGUCCCCCCAGACUGAGACCCUUUACCCAUCACUCUCAUCCCUCCUUCCCUCCCCUGGCCCCUAGCAAACACCGACCUGCUUUGGCCUGUUCUGGAAUUUCAUAUAAAUGGAAUUGACCAAUAUGGUGUCUGGCUUCCUUUGCUCAGCAUCGUGUUUUCAAGGUUCGUCCACGAGGCAGCCUGAGCCGGCCCUUCAUUCUUCUUUAGGGUUGAAUAGCACUUCCUCGUGCGGAUGGACUGAAUCUUGGUGUCCUUCAUCUGUUGAUGGGCACGGGGUUGUUUCUGCUUUCGGUCACUGCGCACCUGCUGCAGAGAACAUGGGUGUGCAAUGUUGUUUAAACGUCUCUCUUCAAGUCUUUGGGGUGCAAGCCUCUGAGUGGAUGGCGAUUCUGCAUUCAGUUUUUUGAGAAACUGCCAGGCUGUUUUUCAACGAGGCUGCACCACUUCAGUGACAUGGCCAUGAGAUUUGAGCCAGGCCCUGGCAGCCUUCGGAGAAGGCAAUGGCACCCUACUCCAGUGUUCUUGCCUGGAAAAUCCCAUGGACGGAGGAGCCUGGCAUGCUGCAGUCCAUGGGGUCGCUAAGGGUCGGACACAACUGAGCGACUUCACUUUCACUUUUCACUUUCAUGCAUUGGAGAAGGAAAUGGCAACCCACUCCAGUGUUCUUGCCUGGAGAAUCCCAGGGACGGGGGAGCCUGGUGGGCUGCCGUCUCUGGGGUAGCACAGAGUCGGACACGACUGAAGCGACUUAGCAGCAGCAGCAGCAGCUGGCAGCCUUCGACUUUCCCGUGCAUUACAUGGGAACCAUCGCCUCUCUCUCUAGGGUGUGUGAGGAAGGGAGAGGAAGGGAGGUGUGUUCAUCGCCCGGAAGGCCCUCCACACAAGGCCCUGAUGCGGGGGCCACAGACCCUGUGCACCAGCAGCAUGCAAGCCUCUCCUUGAACCUGCCAGCCUGGUGCCCCCAGUGGACGCUGUGGCCCCCUUGGCCAAUGAAACCAUGAACAUCAGAGCUCCUUUAGGGGGUGACGGCAAUGCCUCAGUCACUGCAUUUGGUGUAUAGAGUAGAUGCUCUAGAAACACUGACUUGAGGGGUGAUCUCUGAUUUCCAUGACACCCCAGCAAGGUAGAAACUAUUAUCUCUAUUUUACAAAAUCUCACCCAGGUGACUUCAAAAGUCCCCCAGCCAGAGGACAGAGCUGGGACUCUGUCACAGGCCCACCUGACUCUUGAGUGCAGGGCUGAAGUGUUCCAGUCUGCAGGUGGCUCACUGCAUGCGGGUGUCCAGCCAGGAGGAUGGAAGGGGUAAAUCUCCAGUCCCCACUUCCCCUCGACGGGCACCUUGAGUUCAGCACGGAGGUGCUGCGAGUUCUAGUGGAGGACUGGACAGGUCCUGGGGCACCACCCCGCUCCAGUCCUACCCGGGGGGCUCCCACAUUGGUGACAUGCACAGCUUGCUUCUGAUGCAGGAGUAGGUGGCGACCAGACCCAGGCCUGCCUCCCUGGUCAGGGCCCCCAGAGCGGUCCAGACACGUGGUAGUCCAGCCUCUGCAGGAGGAAUCUAGGGGAGAAGGCAGCAGAGAGCAGCCUCUCAGAGGGAGGGAAGCAAGGGUGCAGGCCUGCUCCACCCACCUCGCCCCUUCCGGUCCGUCCGCCCCGCCCACCAUGGUUUGCCCCGACCCGUCCCCGCCCACACCAGGCCUUCCCGUCCCGCCCACAGCGGGUCUGCCCCGCCCCCGCCCGCGCGGAGCAAGCUGGCAUUUCCUCGGAAAGUGGCCUGUUUUGCGGAGGUGGACGGCAGCCUGGUCCUCACGGGAAAUCCUGUGGGCAGAGGAGCCUGGAGGGUUACAGUCCAUGAGGUUGAAAAGAGUUGGACACGACUGAGUGGCUAAACAACAGCAGCUUGGGCAGAACAAUUGCUACAAGGCCUGAGAAAGGGGAGAGGCCAGGGGUGCCUUUAGAAAGCCAACCGUGGCCCCUCUGGACAAGACCCUCCAAGGACAGAGGAAGUGAGGAGCCCACCACCUAGAUGUCUGAGCAUGAGUCGCACGUGAGAACCUGAGAACUGAUUGAAGUCCGUGGGACAAACAGAUGCACAACCUUACCCGCUGGAGCCCAAAAAGGUCCUUGUCGGUAUAGCAGUGGAGUGAAGGGUGGACAGAGCUGCCACGCCUGAAUCUGCGAACCAGCCCUGGGGAAACUGGAGGGAUAGCUCCAGAGAUGCUCAGGGGAUGGAGCCUGGGGCUCUCGGACCAGGGACCCGCUCCGCCCACUUGUAAUUCCCACUUCGUCCAGCUGGGGGCGGACCUGGCCCAGGAGCAGAGGAGGGGAAGGGCCGGGUGGGAGGCAGCUGCACGCCUCGGGGGGCAGGCAGGUGAGCCAGGCGCCCCAGUCUGCAGACAAUGAAAGGGAGAGCCCCCUCAAUUCACCAGGAGCUCAGGCGCCCCCCCCCGUCCCAGGCACGGGACCGCCCCCCACCGACAUCCUGCCCACCAGCCCCCUUCCCUUCUAAGACACUGGGGGCAGGGAGAAGGGGACCAGGUGUGGACAAUGGGCAGUGAGCCUGGGGAUGGCCCCUUCUCCCACCCAGGGCUCCCGGGUCCUGAGGGUGCCCCUCCUGGGACGGCUAUUGCCCUGCCUCCAACAAACCCAUGCCCUCCCUGGCUUCUCUCAACCCCACAGAGGAGCCAAGUGCAGGCAACUUGGGUUUGAACUGACUUUAUUAUUCUGUAAAUGUGAAUUUUACAAAGCGCUUUACAAUGAACGAUCACAUCCUUUUGUUUGUAACGGAUUUCCACUUCCUGGAUCGGCUCUGAGCACACUGCAAGCCCUCUGGGUCCUGGUCGCUGGCGGACGUCGUCGUGUCCUCUGAGUUAUGAUAGGGUGUCAGCCGUGGCGAAAAAGCAACAGUCUGAAUUCUGCCAAGUAGCAGCACGAAAGAGAGGGAGGCGCAGGAGGAACAAACAGAGGUUUCCUCCUUCUUUAAAAAAAAAAAUAAAAAGAAGAAGAAAAAAAAAAAAGCCAGUCUCUUCUGAGGCUGAAAUGGAACUCAGUGUUACUGUGAAACAGGCCUCCUAUACAGCACAGGACAAUUUAUUUAUUGAUUUUUAACAGUCGUGAGUUACAGUACUACUUAACCCCUCCACGGACUCUUUAACAACAACCGUCUCCUUUGCAAAAGUCUCUUUCUUUUCCCCAAACAGUCCGUCCAAAGGAUGAAUGGUCUAUUUGCACCCAAUGCCAUUCAAAUGUUCAAGUCAAAAAUAUUUAUACGGUUUAUAUUUAGUUUUUAUUAUUUUUUGUCUGCUAAAAAUAGUAUUGCAAGUUUUGGCUUCUUUUGACAUAAAAAUGACAACCAUGUGCAAAACGCUAACGAAGAAGCGCUGAUCAGAAUCCAAGCGGGGUGUCCAAUCUGAAUGCUUUAGACAGAUGCUGCAUCAGAUUCCUUCUCGUUUUUCUCAAAGAAACAGAACAAAACAAACGAACAAAAACCAAAAACCCUUGCCAGGUUAGAAACACCUUGUACCGAGCCCCCCCACCCCCACCCCUGCCCCCCACCACGGUCUCUGGCCGCUGGCGGGCGACACGCCUGGAGCUGGCUGGCUGACAUAAUGACAGACGUCUGCAGCAGCAACAUUCAGAAACAGUAGUUAAAGCUCAAGACGGCUCUGAGCUCUCAGUUCUGUGUUUAGGAUUUACUGCUGGCAGAGAGGCAGGCAGAGGUUUUCUCUGAGUUUUCAGGUGGUUAAUGGGCCAUAGGCCUUUUUCGACUUGCAGCAGAGUGUUUCCAUAAAGAUAACCCGGUGGAGGGGAAUCUAAGCCGUCCACAGCUGGGGGUGGCACGCACCCAACCCACGCUGGGAGGUUCCGGCCAUCACAUGGGGACAGAGUCAGGGCCGGAACCGAGCAGGCCGCUCCCAGGCUGAGCCCCUGCUUUCCUCCUUCCUCCCAGCAGAAAGGCCGCCGAGGAAUGAGUUUUCAUGGAGGAGAAACACGCCCGGCUCCUGGGGCCCCAGCACCCGGACAGCGGUUUUGGGGCCGCAGGCCGCACGCCCAGAGGCCUCUCCCCUUGCCUCUGGUCCACAUUCAAGGGCAGGGGGUCAGGUGUGGAGGGUCACGCUCACGGGACAGGAAUUAGUCGUCUUGUAAACAGAGGAGGGAAGGGUCUGGUUCUCCUAAUUGGUUUUCCUUGGGAAAAAUGAUCAAAAGAUGCUAAGGCACUCUGGAAGGCCCCCCCUGAGCCCAGGCCCGCCGCCGCCGCCUGCCCCGUGGAACAUUCCGGACGCGGCGGGGGGAGCACCCCGGCAGAUACAAUCAUCAGCCACGCCCGUCUGCAAACGCUCCGCCCCACGUCCACCGCGGGACACAUUAGUGCAAAACGCUCGGCCUGGCCCGUCCGGAGCGCAGGAAGAGUUCAGCAGCCAUUCACAUUAGAUUCUUAUUAAAGUUUCACCUGCAGCUCUAGCCUUCCUUACCCAGAACAACAAAACAGACGGCGACUAUGACAAUUAAAGAACAGAGGUCAUGGGACAUUGUGCUGGCCUGAGCAGCAGUCAGGCCUUCUCUGGGAGGCCGGCGCCCCUCCCGGUCCUGACCUCGGGGCCGGGGGCCGGGGGAUGGCCACAGGGCCCACAUUGGAGUGGGGGUCAAGAGGAGAGAGCAAAGCCCUUCUGUCCACAGCCAGGGCGGGCAGCCGGGCCCCGAGGGUCCCCAGGAGCUAGUUGGAUAAAAGUGCAAACAUGGGGUGUCGGCCGACGAUGGGGGCUCCGGUA
ensembl:lncRNA